AUAUGGGGCCGGCACCCUACUCACUGAGCCACAGGUGCUGCCCAGAUCACUCCUAUAUUCACCUGAGAGUCCACUUCCAGAGGAGCUGAUAGGAGACGUGGAAGACGCCGUCUGCCUCCACGCCUUUUACUGUGCCAUAUGGAGGCGCUGCGGUGCCCUCCCUGCGCGGUAUAACUGGUGGCUGCAGGCCCCUGAUGUUCUCUUCUACCCGCUGAGGCCGGAGUUGGUGGAGUCCACGUACCUCCUCUACCCGGUACUAGAGUGCGCUGAGCAGUGCUCUGUGUGGAAACGCUGGGAAGACUGGAGCCUCCGGUUCUUCAUCAACACCUGCUGACUGAGAUGGAGAAAGGGGAAAUCAUGUGAACCAGUAAUGAUCCUUAUGCCUAAAGACUGACCUCAUGAAUUUUAGCGAAUCUCUCAGAAAAGAAAGCCUGUAACUGGAUAAUUUAUAAAGAAAAGGAACUUAUUUCAUACAGUUACGGAGUCUGAGAAGUUCAAGAGAUUCUUUGGCUAAAAUGUUCGAGGUGGAUCAAAAGGAGCAAUCCUACAUGGCAUAGACUAAAUCAAGCAAAUAGAAAGCUUCUCCUUCACAGACUCAAUAUUAUGGUUUCCCGCCUGUGCUGAUUGUUCGUUCUUGGUAUUUCAAUACAGAGUACAGAGUUCCCUUAAUGUAUUGCUGACAAAACGUGAGUAUAAAGCUACAGCUCCUCAGAUACGAUAAGGAGAGAUGGCUGGAACUCCUUCGUGUUCAGUUUACCUUCUGGAUAAUGGUUUAUCUGCUAGCAUUACAUGUUCCCUUUUAUAAAGCACCAUCAAAAUCAGCUAAUAGUUUUAAGAAUGCAAAUUUUGCCUUUCAAGUGUGAUCAAGAACUCAUUGAGAGUUCACAUGUCUUCAAGUCUCCAUGUG